rnacentral:rRNA from 1 species
GACAGAGGGUGCAAACGUUGUUCGGAAUUACUGGGCGUAAGACGCGUGUAGGCUGCUUCGCAAGUCGGAUGUGAAAGCCCUGGGCUCAACCCAGGAAGUGCAUUCGAAACUGCAGAGCUGGAGUCCUGGAGAGGAAGGCGGAAUUCUCGGUGUAGAGGUGAAAUUCGUAGAUAUCGAGAGGAACACCGGUGGCGAAGGCGGCCUUCUGGACAGUGACUGACGCUGAGACGCGAAAGCGUGGGGAGCAAACAGG